rnacentral:rRNA from 1 species
GACGAACGCUGGCGGCGUGCUUAACACAUGCAAGUCGAACGCUGAAGCACCAGCUUGCUGGUGUGGAUGAGUGGCGAACGGGUGAGUAAUACGUGAGUAACCUGCCCUUGACUCUGGGAUAAGCCCGGGAAACUGGGUCUAAUACUGGAUGCUACAUGUCACCGCAUGGUGGUGUGUGGAAAGGGUUUACUGGUCUUGGAUGGGCUCACGGCCUAUCAGCUUGUUGGUGAGGUAAUGGCUCACCAAGGCGACGACGGGUAGCCGGCCUGAGAGGGUGACCGGCCACACUGGGACUGAGACGCGGCCCAGACUCCUACGGGAGGCAGCAGUGGGGAAUAUUGCACAAUGGGCGAAAGCCUGAUGCAGCGGCGCCGCGUGAGGGAUGACGGCCUUCGGGUUGUAAACCUCUUUCAGCAGGGAAGAAGCCACAAGUGACGGUACCUGCAGAAGAAGCGCCGGCUAACUACGUG